rnacentral:rRNA from 1 species
UACGGGGGGGGCAAGCGUUGUUCGGAAUUACUGGGCGUAAAGGGCGCGUAGGCGGUUUGCUAAGUUGGAUGUGAAAACUCUGGGCUUAACCCAGAGCCUGCAUCCAAAACUGGCAAACUUGAGUACUGGAGGGGAAAGCGGAAUUCCCGGUGUAGCGGUGAAAUGCGUAGAGAUCGGGAGGAACACCCGUGGCGAAGGCGGCCAACUGGGCCGGACCUGACGCUGAGGCGCGAAGGCGUGGGGAGCGAACGGG